UUCCCCUCGAACGAGGAAUUCCCAGUAAGCGCGAGUCAUAAGCUCGCGUUGAUUACGUCCCUGCCCUUUGUACACACCGCCCGUCGCUACUACCGAUUGAAUGAUUUAGUGAGGUCUUCGGACUGGCGCUCGGAGCGGUGCUCGGCGCCGGGCCGACGUGCCGGAAAGAUGACCAAACUUGAUCAUUUAGAGGAAGUAAAAGUCGUAACAAGGUUUCC
rnacentral:rRNA from 1 species